AGCUCCUGCCCUGGGAGCAGGUGAACUCCAUGCAGGCCUUGGCCAUGAGCUCUGGAAAGGCUCACCUGAAGCAGGUGAAUAUGCACAGAGUGAAAAUACGGGAUUUAGAAACCAAGGCUCCAGAAGGGAAAGCCUGUUCAAGUGCUAACCACCAGCAGUGGUCCUAAAGUUUGUGUCUGGUUGUGACGGCUGCAUCGGGCUCAAAGUGGAUUUGGAGGAGACAGGAUGAAAUGAAAGGGGGAAAAGUCAGACAAAUCUCAGGCUGCUUCAAGUGAUUCAGCCUUUUGAUGGAAAGUUCAAGAAGAAAUCUGUGCCCCACCUUGGCCCCACGGUCUCUAAGGAAAGGCAAUUCCACAUCACAGCUGGGGGUGUGACUGCAGCCUGGAAAAAAAGCAGCAGAGAUGCAGGUCUGGAAGUGUCAGGAGGUCACUACUGAGAGGUGACUGUAACCCUAAGAUGCUGCAGUUUAUAUUCCUGCUCCAUUAGCUCUGACAACAGACUUCAGAGACAAGAGUUUUCUCAAUCUGGUUUAUAAAUCAUGCUGGCAAAAAUGCACUGGGAUUUACUUGUGCGUAACAGGGAGUUCUGCAAGAAAAAUGAACCCUUUGAAUGAGAACUGAGGUGGGUGUGAAACAGAUGCUUGUCACCUAUGCAUUGCCCAAGUUUUGGGCUGGGUUUGUGGAAGCCCAGGAGAUAUUCCUCUUUUCCCCAGCCAGACCCAGACAGCUGAGAAGUCAGAGCUGGUGGGAUGAGACCAGCCCCAGCCUGGAAGCUGUUCACUGACACAUCAAUGCUGCACCAUCCACUUUGCUUCCCAGCAAACAGUGACGUGCCACAGCUUCCAAGCCUCGGGCUGCACUUACAUCAUCCUGCUCAGAACGGUGGAGAUUAAUUGUUUUUGUACCCAAAGAUUUCCUCUGCCCUUGGAAAGAUCUGCUUUCCAAAACCUCUUCAGUUUUUUUGUGAAAAUACGAGCCUUUAAAAAUAGCUGAACUGGUCACCCAGGAAGAGACCCACUCGAAAUCAUGGACUGUUUUUCAAAGCCUUGACCUUAAUGUCUGAAAGGAUGUUGCCUUCUGCAUAACCCAGGCAAUCCUACCAGGUGUUUGGGCUCGAAGCUGUGCCCGCGCAGUCCCUGGUGCACACAAGCUUUGUGUGGCACUGUGUCACAGUGUCACAAUGGCUCUGCAAGAGUGAGCUGCGUCACCUCCCCACUCAUGCAUCAGCAGCAAAGCUGGGAGCUCAGGGCUGGUGGCAGGACCUUUAUCAGCAGUGAUGAAUGGCAGAGGGGAUUUUCAUCUCUUUGAUUAAUUUUGCUGGGCUGACAGUUAGAAAGAUCACAUCUUGGCUCCUGCAC